AAUAAGUACAAACUGUAUUCUGACAUUAGUCCUUAUUGUUUUGGAUACCAGACCCCCGUUAGAACAGAACCACUUGGGUCCAACAGGUCCACAGACUGGGUCCAUGUGUGUACCAGUUUAGACAGUU